rnacentral:rRNA from 1 species
UACGGAGGGUGCAAGCGUUAUCCGGAUUCACUGGGUUUAAAGGGUGCGUAGGUGGGUUGGUAAGUCAGUGGUGAAAUCCCCGAGCUUAACUUGGGAACUGCCAUUGAUACUAUCAGUCUUGAAUACCGUGGAGGUCAGUGGAAUAUGUCAUGUAGCGGUGAAAUGCUUAGAUAUGACAUAGAACACCAAUUGCGAAGGCAGCUGGCUACACGAAUAUUGACACUGAGGCACGAAAGCGUGGGAUCAAACAGGA